UCGUGGUCGAGUGGUAAUGACACUUGCCCCUCAUCCUGGAGUCCUAGGUUCGAUCCCCGGUUGAGGAG
rnacentral:tRNA from 1 species